rnacentral:rRNA from 1 species
GACGAACGCUGGCGGCGUGCUUAACACAUGCACGUCGAACGGAAAGGCCCUGCUUUUGUGGGGUGCUCGAGUGGCGAACGGGUGAGUAACACGUGAGUAACCUGCCCUUGACUUUGGGAUAACUUCAGGAAACUGGGGCUAAUACCGGAUAGGAGCUCCUGCUGCAUGGUGGGGGUUGGAAAGUUUCGGCGGUUGGGGAUGGACUCGCGGCUUAUCAGCUUGUUGGUGGGGUAGUGGCUUACCAAGGCUUUGACGGGUAGCUGGCCUGAGAGGGUGACCGGCCACAUUGGGACUGAGAUACGGCCCAGACUCCUACGGGAGGCAGCAGUGGGGAAUAUUGCACAAUGGGCGGAAGCCUGAUGCAGCAACGCCGCGUGCGGGAUGACGGCCUUCGGGUUGUAAACCGCUUUCGCCUGUGACGAAGCGUGAGUGACGGUAAUGGGUAAAGAAGCACCGGCUAACUACGUG